AGAUUGAACGCUGGCGGCAUGCCUAACACAUACAAGUCGAACGGGAGUAGCAAUACUCUAGUGGCGGACGGGUGAGGAAUACGUAGGAAUUUGCCCUUAAGUGGGGGAUAACCCGGGGAAACCCGGAUUAAUACCGCAUGACCUCGAAAGAGCAAAGUGGGGGAUCGCAAGACCUCACGCUUUUGGAGAAGCCUACGUCGGAUUAGCUAGUUGGUGAGGUAAUGGCUCACCAAGGCGACGAUCCGUAACUGGUCUGAGAGGAUGAUCAGUCACACCGGAACUGAGACACGGUCCGGACUCCUACGGGAGGCGAGCGAGGUGGGGAAUAGUUGGACAAUGGGCGACGAAGCCGUAGACUCCAGCAAUGGCCGCGGUGUGGUAGGAAGGAACGG
rnacentral:rRNA from 1 species